rnacentral:rRNA from 1 species
UACGAAGGGGGCUAGCGUUGCUCGGAAUCACUGGGCGUAAAGCGCACGUAGGCGGCUUUUUAAGUCAGAGGUGAAAUCCUGGAGCUCAACUCCAGAACUGCCUUUGAUACUGAGAGGCUUGAGUCCGGGAGAGGUGAGUGGAACUGCGAGUGUAGAGGUGAAAUUCGUAGAUAUUCGCAAGAACACCAGUGGCGAAGGCGGCUCACUGGCCCGGUACUGACGCUGAGGUGCGAAAGCGUGGGGAGCGAACAGG